rnacentral:rRNA from 1 species
ACCUAUGGCCAUACCACUCUGAAUGUGCCCGAUUUCAUCUGAUCUCAGAAGCUAAGCAGUGUCUGGUCUGGUUAGUAGUUGGAAGGGAGAAUUAAACAAGCAGAGAAAUAGGUA